AUCAUUUUUGGCCUUUUGGCUAAGAUCAAGUGUGGUAUCUGUUGUCAGGUUACUCUAUCCUCUGUCAGGACAAUAUAUUAAAUGGAUUUUGUGGCUGGGAUAUGGCACAGGAGCUUGCACCAUCCACUUCAUGCAUUGAUUUGGUAUUGCAAUACCUCCAGAAAUGGAGGGGGGAAA
rnacentral:snRNA from 1 species